rnacentral:rasiRNA from 1 species
CGAGAUAACAAUAAUUGACCAAUUCU